rnacentral:misc_RNA from 1 species
GUUAAAUUUUUAAAAUUUUCAAUCUUCAUUUAGUCAUAUGUUUACCCAUACAUGAAAGCAAGGUCCAUCAAAAGAAAGGCCAUAAGGGACUCACACAACUUGGCUUUCCUAUUCUUUGCAGGUGAUCAGAGAAAGUAAAAUUUCAAAAUGUCUUCAAACUUUAGGAAUUUAUUAAAUUUGUUCCCUCUUACGCAUGAAGCAUCAAAUAUUAGUAGAGCCUUUUGCGCUCUGUGGAUGUGUGUAUUUCUCCAU